GACGAACGCUGGCGGCGUGCUUAACACAUGCAAGUCGAACGAGUGGCGAACGGGUGAGUAACACGUGAGUAACCUGCCCCUUCUUCUGGAUAACUGCUUGAAAGGGUAGCUAAUACUGCAUAGUUGGGGAUGGGCUCGCGGCCUAUCAGCUUGUUGGGGGGGUGAUGGCCUACCAAGGCGGUGACGGGUAGCCGGCCUGAGAGGGUGGUCGGCCACAUUGGGACUGGGAUACGGCCCAGACUCCUACGGGAGGCAGCAGUGGGGGAUAUUGCACAAUGGGCGCAAGCCUGAUGCAGCGACGCCGCGUGAGGGAUGAGGGCUUUCGGGUUGUAAACCUCUUUCGGUACAGAACGGGUAUGUGCAGAAGAAGCGCCGGCUAACUACGUGCCAGCAGCCGCGGUAAUAC
rnacentral:rRNA from 1 species